rnacentral:rRNA from 1 species
AGUCGAGCGAACAGAGAAGGAGCUUGCUCCUUUGACGUUAGCGGCGGACGGGUGAGUAACACGUGGGCAACCUACCUUAUAGUUUGGGAUAACUCCGGGAAACCGGGGCUAAUACCGAAUAAUCUGUUUCACCUCAUGGUGAAAUAUUGAAAGACGGUUUCGGCUGUCGCUAUAGGAUGGGCCCGCGGCGCAUUAGCUAGUUGGUGAGGUAACGGCUCACCAAGGCGACGAUGCGUAGCCGACCUGAGAGGGUGAUCGGCCACACUGGGACUGAGACACGGCCCAGACUCCUACGGGAGGCAGCAGUAGGGAAUCUUCCACAAUGGGCGAAAGCCUGAUGGAGCAACGCCGCGUGAGUGAAGAAGGAUUUCGGUUCGUAAAACUCUGUUGUAAGGGAAGAACAAGUACAGUAGUAACUGGCUGUACCUUGACGGUACCUUAUUAGAAAGCCACGGCUAACUACGUGCCAGCAGCCGCGGUAAUACGUAGGUGGCAAGCGUUGUCCGGAAUUAUUGGGCGUAAAGCGCGCGCAGGUGGUUUCUUAAGUCUGAUGUGAAAGCCCACGGCUCAACCGUGGAGGGUCAUUGGAAAACUGGGAGACUUGAGUGCAGAAGAGGAUAGUGGAAU